rnacentral:sRNA from 1 species
GCCAGGCGUGGUGGUGCAUGCCUGUAAUCCCAACGGCUUAGGAGGCUGAGGCAGGAGGAUUGCAAAUUCAAAGCCAGCUUCAGCAAUUUAGUGAGACCCUAAAGCAACUUAGUGAAAUCCUGUCUCUA